rnacentral:tRNA from 1 species
GCUCCCGUAGCUCAAUUGGAUAGAGUGUCGCCCUCCGAAGGCGAAGGUUGCCCGUUCGAGCCGGGCCGGGAGCG